rnacentral:lncRNA from 1 species
GGGAUAGAAAUAAAUAUGAAUCAAUUAGAGAAAUAGAUUAAAUCUAAUCAAGAGUUGAGUUAAAUUAAGUUAAAAUUUCUCUAAGAUCAAUCUCAAUAGUUGUAGCUUGAUCAAGUCUAUAUUUUUGAUGACACCAAAUAGAUUUGAUUGUGGCUUAAUGAUUUAGCCCGACUCCUUUAGUUGAUCGAAUCUAAUCGGAUCAA